rnacentral:misc_RNA from 1 species
AACACUGUUAACCUGCGGUACCUGCGGAAGGAUCAUUAAAAAGAGUGUGUACCCCUCUGUAAAAUGAGUGGGUUACCUCCCGUCCUUUGUUGACCUCUUAGGAGGUUAUUUUGAACUUUCUGCUUCGGUGGGGUUAAACCUACCGGAACACCCUCAAAUUCUUAUCAUUUAAAAAUUGUUCAGUCUGAUUUUUGUUAAUAAAAACAAAAAACUUUCAACAACGGAUCUCAGAUCGGAAGA